GACGAAGGGGGCUAGCGUUGUUCGGAAUUACUGGGCGUAAAGCGAGUGUAGGUGGUUGUCCAAGUUGAAUGUGAAAGCCUUGAGCUCAACUCAAGAAAUGCAUUCAGGACUGGGCGGCUAGAGGACCGGAGAGGAUAGUGGAAUUCCCAGUGUAGUGGUGAAAUACGUAGAGAUUGGGAAGAACACCAGUGGCGAAGGCGGCUAUCUGGACGGUUUCUGACACUAAGACUCGAAAGCGUGGGGAGCAAACAGG
rnacentral:rRNA from 1 species